ACGGAGGGUGCAAGCGUUGCUCGGAAUCACUGGGCGUAAAGCGACCGCAGGCGGCCUGACAAGUCGGAUGUGAAAGCCCUGGGCUCAACUCAGGAAUUGCAUUCGAAACUGGCAGGCUUGAGUACGGGAGAGGGGGGUGGAAUUCCUGGUGUAGGGGUGAAAUUCGUUGAUAUCAGGAGGAACACCGGCGGCGAAGGCGGCCCCCUGGCCCGCAACUGACGCUCAUGGUCGAAAGCGUGGGGAGCAAACA
rnacentral:rRNA from 1 species